rnacentral:rRNA from 1 species
GAUGAACGCUGGCGGCGUGCCUAAUACAUGCAAGUCGAGCGAACAGACGAGGAGCUUGCUCCUCUGACGUUAGCGGCGGACGGGUGAGUAACACGUGGAUAACCUACCUAUAAGACUGGGAUAACUUCGGGAAACCGGAGCUAAUACCGGAUAAUAUAUUGAACCGCAUGGUUCAAUAGUGAAGGAGGGUUUUCCUGUCACUAUUAGAUGAAUCGGCGCCGCAUUAGCUAGUUGGUAAGGUAACGGCUUACCAAGGCAACGAUGCGUAGCCGACCUGAGAGGGUGAUCGGCCACACUGGAACUGAGACACGGUCCAGACUCCUACGGGAGGCAGCAGUAGGGAAUCUUCCGCAAUGGGCGAAAGCCUGACGGAGCAACGCCGCGUGAGUGAUGAAGGUCUUCGGAUCGUAAAACUCUGUUAUUAGGGAAGAACAAAUGUGUAAGUAACUAUGCACGUCUUGACGGUACCUAAUCAGAAAGCCACGGCUAACUACGUG